rnacentral:misc_RNA from 1 species
UACUCAUUCUCUUCGAUGUAGUGCGUCCGCCUGGACGCGAUGGUGACCGAGACCUUUUUGCGCAAGGCUUUGUUUGCGCGCUGUGCGAUUGACCUCUGCGGCAAAAAAAUACUUCCGAAGGAUGCCUUUGUCGCUCUUUUGACACAAGGGAAGCUGACCCCAUCACAGUAUCAGAUGACAGACGCGGAGGCGGUGAAGUACAUAGACACUCUCAAACGCGCGAAGAUGAUUGUGGAGGUGGAUGAUUACGUGUACACUGACGUCAAGGCUGUCGUCGACGCGGUGCAUCUGAAAAGCGGGCUCCCCCUUGUACCGGCAACAAGCAAAACAUUCGAGAAUUUGUACCACGCGUUGUCUGAAUCUCUUGCCGCGUUUCAUAGGCAAAGUUUACCGGCGGCGGAGAGGGCGGUGCGCCGCCAGAGAGAGUUCUGGGCGUUUACAGCACUCGGCAGCGGUACUCAGAUGCUAGUGCUGGCGUACUUGACGUUCCAGGUGUACGGGUGGGAUGUGAUGGAGCCAGUCACCUUUUUUGUUACGACUGCGACGGCGCUGUGCUCAUACGCCUACUUUCUCUACUUUCGCGCUGAGCACUCGUACGAAAGCGUCGACGAUAGUUUCCUGCCACACCUCCUCAUGCGAGAACUUGGCGUACUGCGCGUGGACGCCGACAAGGCGAUACGUGAUAUGAAGGCCAUGCAGGAGUUGCAGGCUGCCGUUUCGCUCGACGAUGAGCGCGUUUCAAAGCUGGUCGAGGCAGCUGCCAAGAAAAAGAGCACUAGCGCAUGCCACUCCUGAGCCCUGCAUGGUUGGAAAUAUGUGUGGGUGCGUAGUUGUUUAUGGACUUUGCAAGCCUCGCGUUCGUUUGAGCGGGCCCCUGCACAGUGGUGAUUGCAGGUCAAAAAGAAACACGCCAAAUGACACAGUAGAAAAGUACCUGAAAGCUCUCAGUGGCUGCAGCUGGAAAAAUGCGUCCAGGACUUCAUUCAGGAUUUGGC